ACCUGGUUGAUCCUGCCAGUAGUCAUAUGCUUNUNUCAAAGAUUAANCCAUGCAUGUNUAAGUAUAAACAAGUCUAUACUGUGAAACUGCGAAUGGCUCAUUAUAACAGUUAUAGUUUAUUUGAUAGUUAUUACUACUUGGAUAACCGUGGUAAUUCUAGAGCUAAUACAUGCGUCAAACACCCGCAUCGAGGGUGGUAUUUAUUAGAUUCAAAACCAAUGCAGGGUUCGCCCUGGUGCCUUGGUGAGUCAUAAUAACUGUGCGAAUCGAAGUGGCCUUGCGCCGUCGAUGAUUCAUUCAAAUUUCUGCCCUAUCAACUUUCGAUGGUAGGAUAGUGGCCUACCAUGGUUAUAACGGGUAACGGAGAAUUAGGGUUCGAUUCCGGAGAGGGAGCCUGAGAGAUGGCUACCACUUCUAAGGAAGGCAGCAGGCGCGCAAAUUACCCAAUCCUAAUACAGGGAGGUAGUGACAAAAAAUAACAAUACAGGGCUUGCAAAAGUCUUGUAAUUGGAAUGAGUACAAUUUAAACCCCUUAACGAGAAACAAUUGGAGGGCAAGUCUGGU
rnacentral:rRNA from 1 species